AGAGAGAGAGAGAGAGAGAGAGAGAGAGAGAGAUUUCUUUUCUUUAUUUACAUGUAUAUCUGUUGAUUACAGUUCAGAUACUGGGUUUGUGAGUUGAAAUUAAUCAAAUGAGAGUGGUAAAAAUCCACCUUUAUAUGUAUAAUUUACAUAUCAGGAUUUUAUCCAGGUACGUUAUUCUGGUUUGUGGAAUGCUAAUUUAUACUAAGUUAGAAUAAUCUAAGCUGUAUACCAAAGUAGGUCUUCAUGGGGCUUUACGGCUCUAUGCAUCGUAAAUAGAGAUCGGGUUCAAUGCGUCGGGUGUGGGAUUCACACAAUAUAUGCUGAGCGCGAAAGUUGAUAUUGACAGGCGCCAUAAUGUUAUACCGGUAAACAACAUUUUGAACAUGAAUCGAGAACAGGAGUUGAAUCAGUUGAUGCAGAUAUUCUGAGGAGAAUCUUCCAGUCAUUGAAAUAUAUUUCAUGAUAGUCAUGCAGAUUCAGAAGUUGUGAUGGUGUGUUGAUAGGCUGUCUUCAACUUGCCAUAUCUUAGAGUUCCAACAUGCAGGCCUGGAUUAAUGUGUAUAAAUCACUAAUGAAAAAAAGAAUGACAUUUCGAUUUAUACACACUUGCCAAGUGAAUCUGAUGAGACUGCUACAUGUAUUUGUGAGUAAAGGCACUCUGUCUUAACCAAAAAACUAUUUACAGUUUAUCACAACAAAUGGAUGGGACAGUAGAGCUGUUGCGGACAAUAUGUGAUUGUGAUGACCAAGUACUGAACAAGUGGAAGAUUAGAAGAAGGUCCAGAAUUCAAUCAUGUUUUUUAUUCUAAGGUGCACACAGCAUGGAGAUAGUCCUAUUAUUCUCUCAUUCAUCUAUGAUGGAGAAACUUGUGUAAAUGUUUAGUGUUCUCCCUAAUAAUUAAAUGCCCACAAGUCUGUAUUAAUUUAUCAGAAUAUAAAGUCCUUCACAGUACUGAUUUUAAAAUUAAUGUAGAGUGUCUCCAGAUUUUUCUGAGGAAAAGUGCAUAGUUUACAUGUGUGAAUUUUGAAUAUAUUUCAUUCUUGUCUGCAAAUGUUGCCGAAACCUGUUGUUAUUGAUGCACAGUCAUGUUAUGCAAAUGAUAGACCUUCUUAAUUACAUGUACAGAAGAUCAUGUCAACUCCUUUGUCUUAAUUGUAUACACAAUUCUAGCAUUUAUAGCAUCAUUUAUAUAGCACUUGCUAGUUUAAGAAGGAUUUUAUUUUCUAAAAGCUUUCAUUUGACAUGAUUGAUCUAAAACGGCCAAAAUUCACAAAUCUAUUUAAAUCACAACCUGACCUUAUGUCAGAAAAGUGCCACUGUGGGUUGAUAUUUUUCUCUUGGAUCUUGAAAGAAAUUCUUUAUGCAGCAGUUUCCAAAUAAAAUGUACUCUCAUGGCCAGGGUGGGACUUCACCGAGAACUUUUUAACAUUGCACAAUGCAAUAUUUGUAGAUUAGAAGUUGUUGCAGUUUCUUUAAGUUUUCUCUCACAUCUUGUUAUAAUUAUAUUUUUGGUUGGGUUGCACAAUGUGCAAACAGUUUAUAAAAUGGUGAAUUACUCAGUGGUGUGCAAGCGACAGUAGCGUCCCUGUAAUAGUACCUACUUUGUGUAAUCAACUCCUUUCACACCUCUCACUUGAUGUUCCUUAAACUUUGUACAGUUGUUAGGGAUACAUUGAAGAUGUGCAUGUGCCUUUUUGAAAGUGAUCAGACAUUUUUUGAAAAAUUUACAUGUAGUUGAACUUCGUCAUUUUUAAGCAUUUCUUGAAUAGAUGGUAACUAUUUUGUGUAAUCAAAUCUUCAUGCACCUCUAACUUGACAUUCCUUAAACUUUGUACAGUUGUUAUGAACACAUUGAAGAUGUGCAUGCAUCUUUUUGAAAAUGAUUAGACUUUUUUAAAAAAAAAAUUAUGUGUAGUUGAACUUGGUCAUUUUUAUGCAUUUCUUGAAUAGAUGGUACCUAUUUUGUGUGAUCAACUCGUGCACAUCUAAAUUGAUAUUCCUCAAACUUUGUACAGUAGUUAUGGACACAUUGAAGAUGUGCAUGUGUCUUUUUGAAAGUGAUCAGACUUUUUUCAAAAAAAUUACAUUUAGUUGAACUUUGUCAUUUUUUAAGCAUUUCCUGAAUAGAUGGUACUUAUUUUUUGUAAUCAACUCCUCUUACAGCAUUUAUUUGACAUUCUUCAGACCUUGAACAGCUGUUAUGGAAGCAUUGUAAAUGUGCAUGUGUCUUUUCGGAAGUGAUCAGGCAUUCUUUGAAAAAUUUACAUAUGCAUGGUGAAGUUGAACUUAGUCAUUUUUUAAGCAUGGUACUUUAUGUAACCAACUCAACUUUUACUUAACAUUUUCCAGACCCUGUACAUUAUAGAUGUUUUAAAAACAUUGAAGAUAUUCAUGUAACAUUUUCAAAAUGCUUCUCUUUUUUUUUUCUUCUCUUUUUUGUUGUUGAAAAAUUCUACCUUUAAUUUGUCAUUUCCCCAGUAUAUGUUUCUACUGUUGUUCCUAUGAUGGAGAACAUAUUUUACAAGAACCCAGUCAUUUUUGUUUUUGAAUAUUUUUUUUUAAAUUAGUAUUUUUGAAUAUGUUAAUUACUUGAUAUGUCAUUGUUCUUGAAAUUAUAUUAAUUGAAUUGUU